ensembl:lncRNA
ACAAUAUUGUAGUUAUUUUUGCCAAUACACUGACCUGAAUCAGCCAUGGGUGUAUAUGUGUCCCCCAUCCUGAACCCCCCUCCCACCUCCCUCCCCAUCCCAUCCCUCAGGGUCGUCCCAGUGCACCAGCCCGGAGCACCCUGUCUCAUGCAUCAAACCUGGACUGGAGAUCUAUUUUACAUAUGGAGACCCUGGUUCGCUCCCUGCAUCGGGAAGAUCCCCUGGAGAAGGAAAUGGCAACCCCCUUCAGUAUUCUUGCCUGGAGAAUCCCACGGAUGGAGGAGCUGGGUCUUUGCUGUUGCUCACAGGCCUUCUCUAAUCGCGGGUUCGACCUGCACCUCCUGCACUGGCAGGCAGAUCCUUAACCUCUGGACCACCAGAGAAGCCUCCAGUUAAUUUGUACAAUGAUGAAACUGAAGCUCCAAUAUGUUGGCCAC